rnacentral:rRNA from 1 species
AGUGAACGCUGGCGGUAGGCCUAACACAUGCAAGUCGAACGGCAGCACAGUAAGAGCUUGCUCUUACGGGUGGCGAGUGGCGGACGGGUGAGGAAUACAUCGGAAUCUACUUUUUCGUGGGGGAUAACGUAGGGAAACUUACGCUAAUACCGCAUACGACCUACGGGUGAAAGCAGGGGAUCUUCGGACCUUGCGCGAUUGAAUGAGCCGAUGUCGGAUUAGCUAGUUGGCGGGGUAAAGGCCCACCAAGGCGACGAUGCGUAGCUGGUCUGAGCGGGUGAUCAGCCACACUGGAACUGAGACACGGUCCAGACUCCUACGGGAGGCAGCAGUGGGGAAUAUUGGACAAUGGGCGCAAGCCUGAUCCAGCCAUACCGCGUGGGAGAAGAAGGCCUUCGGGUUGUAAAGCCCUUUUGUUGGGAAAGAAAAGCAGCAGGUUAAUACCCCGCUGUUCUGACGGUACCCAAAGAAUAAGCACCGGCUAACUUCGUG